rnacentral:ncRNA from 15 species
GGGAGAGUAGCUGAGUGGUCAAAAGCAACAGCCUGUAAAUCUGUUGAAGGUUUUCUACGUAGGUUCAAAUCUUGCCUCUCCCA